rnacentral:rRNA from 1 species
UACGAAGGGGGCUAGCGUUGCUCGGAAUCACUGGGCGUAAAGGGCGCGUAGGCGGCGUUUUAAGUCGGGGGUGAAAGCCUGUGGCUCAACCACAGAAUGGCCUUCGAUACCGGGACGCUUGAGUAUGGUAGAGGUUGGUGGAACUGCGAGUGUAGAGGUGAAAUUCGUAGAUAUUCGCAAGAACACCAGUGGCGAAGGCGGCUCACUGGCCCGGUACUGACGCUGAGGCACGAAAGCGUGGGGAGCAAACAGG